CGCCGCAAGCUCUCGACGUUUGUCCGUUCACUGUCCUGUUAGUAGGUAACAUUUUUCUGGGAGUCAGGUGUGCAGAAGUCUACCCGCAAGCCAAAGCUUUUACAGAGAUCAGUUACCUUUCCCAUGGCUUAUUCAGAGAUGACAGGGACAACGAAUCUCAAGAGCCGCAAUGCCCAUCACUAGAACCCACAGAUGCUCCACACGCGUGCGUCAUGUAACCAGUGUGCCGUGAGCGUCACGUGACCACUUUCAUCCUUAUGAGACGGGUGUGGAGUGUGUACACAUCUUUCUUCUCCACCGACAGGCAGGGGAACUGCAGCCGUGCUUGUCCCCUCUGCCCCCGGGCAGGACAACCGGGCUCCCCCGCCAGGCAGGGGCGGGGCUCAGACCAGCUCUCCCGCCUUCCUCGCCCGCAGGCAUGCAGAUUUCAAGUGAAUUUGUUUAGUCCUGUUCUGGAAGAUGAUGCAACAUGACUAGAAAGGAAGUGGGCAGCUGACUUGCUGCCACGAGGCAACUCCAGCAAAGGCGCAGUCACCAUCCCUGCUUCACAGCCGAACAAAUGACCUAAGGUGCCUGAGGUCACACAGCUCGCGAGGGUCCCCAGCGUCCACCUGCAGAGCCCGGACUCCCACCCCCGCAGCGGCAAUGAGGACGCACACCCCGUCCCCGGAGAUCACUUUUAGUGGAGAGGGGACAACGGCCCAGGCUGUGGGCGAGGAGGGGCCCGGCGCCUGCCUUGACGUUGCAGAACAAAGUGCUGGGAGAAAGGCUCGGGUCACCUGGGGUGAGCAGUCACACUCACACCACAGAGGUGCAAAGGCUGGUGGCGCAAGGUGUGGGCGGAAGGGCUUCGGGCGAGGAGUGUGUGACUAAACCCUCUGCCAUCCUGGGUUGGGGCCCAGGCCCAGGAGAAAAGCUACAAGGGACAAUAUUGGGACAGCUGACCAAAUUCGUAUGUGGACUGUGGGCUGGUUGCUUCGAAAACAACUCUCACGGCCGAGUCACUGUCCAAACAAGGAAGGGCUGGGUGACUAAGCCUCCCUAUGUCAUCUUCUGGAGCAAGGUCACUGUAGCCGAACGCCUCGCAACCCCCCCAGGUCCCAUCUACUUAAUUCCCUCUCUUGAGACUUCAUCUUUGAGCUCGCCUGGGAGAGGAUGAUGUAAUGCCCAACAAAUGCCAGAGGAGCCUCUUGGAGCCGCGACACCAAACAUGGGCAGGACACGGAGGCCACGUUUGCUUAGGCAAACACUCAGAUACCUGUCAUUGUUUAAGUUUUCUUCUGAGACGCGCGGGCUCCUGCACAGGUUUCGUAGAGGUUUUGAUCCAUCCCGUCGAUCCAUUUGAAGUCUUACACUUCAAAGCCCCGUGCGAGCCCACACAAGACGUGCACGCACGCUGGCGUCCCCAUGCCGCCCGCCGGGGGGUGGCUCUAAAACAUUCAUAUCCUCCCAGAACUGCAGUAACACGAGCAAGGACCACUUGCUGCGAGCAGACUUUUUCUUAACUCCAAUGUAAACUUCCUGUUGCGAUUUUGACCAGUUUCCCCUCGUCCAGAGCUCAGGGGAGCCGGUGAACGGUUCAUCGUGACCCCCCGCAGGACGCUUUGUCCUUUCCAUGUGAGCACAGCGUGCUGACCCUUCCACGGGCCAUCCGCUCCGAGCUGUUUGUCCAGGUGUGACGCAUCUUUCUUGCUGUUUCACGGAUUCUUCUCUGGUCUCGUCUGAAACCAGGGCAUCUGUAGGCUAUUCACGGAUCCAGUCGAGAGAAAAGUGUCUUGGCCAUCGAGGGCUGUUCGAACUGUGAUUUUAGGCUCACCGGACACUGUACUGCAAACACCUGACUUAAGGAGCCUCGUGUUUCACCCUUCACAGGACUCGAUAGUCACGUAAGAGGAAAAAAAAAUCUCAAAAGUUUUCGGAUCCAGACUUCUCCCACGUGGGCUCCCGUGGAAGCCCAAACAUCCCCGGUGUGGUCUAUAUGGGCACAGGUGCAAGGCCACCUCUGGAAUUAAAUCCACCUAUUUCCCUCCCUCGUCCUGCUGACUUUCUGCUGAAGCACCCAGCAAAUGGCACUGGGACCAUUCUGGGCUGCUCUAACCCCCACCCAGUUCCGGAGACCCCUGGAACGGAGGCUGUGCAAGGUGCGGGUCACUGGAGGAGAAGGGCCCCAGCAGGGAGUCAGGUGGGGACAUGGCAGAUGGCAGACAGGGUCCCUGUGGCUGACUGGAAACAGGUGGGUCCCGGGCUGUUUCAGGUUUCUGGGAGUAAUUGCUCCCAUCUUUGCACCUCCUCUCCUUCUCCCAUGGUUUGUCUGGCCUGCCAAAGAAAAAUUAAAAUGCAACGUUGAACUACAUUUAAAAUGCUCCUCCCUCUCUAGCUUUUUUAAAAAAUGACUUUUCUUUUUC